GGAGGGUGCAAGCAUUAAUCGGAUUUAUUGGGCGUAAAGAGCGCGUAGGCGGCUUGUUAAGUCAGGUGUGAAAUUCCAGAGCUCAACUCUGGAGCUGCACUUGAAACUGAUAGGCUUGAGGAUAGGCGGAGAAAACGGAAUUCCACGUGUAGCGGUGAAAUGCGUAGAUAUGUGGAAGAACACCGGUGGCGAAGGCGGUUUUCUAGCUUAUUCCCGACGCUAAGGCGCGAAAGCAAGGGUAGCGAACAGGGAUUAGAUACCCUGGUAGUCCUGGCUGUAAACGAUGGACACUAGGUGUUGGAGAGGAUUAACUUUUCAGUGCCGCAGCUAACGCAUUAAGUGUCCCCGCCUGGGAGUACGGUCGCAAGACUG
rnacentral:rRNA from 1 species